rnacentral:misc_RNA from 1 species
AAGUCGUAACAAGGUUUCCGUAGGUGAACCUGCGGAAGGAUCAUUACAGAAUUUUGAGAGGGGUUGUAGCUGGCCGGAAGGCAUGUGCACGCCUCGAUCAUCAUCCAUCUCACACCUGUGCACAUACUGUAGGUCGGUUUGUGGGGUGAAGUCUUCAUUGAUUUCGCUCUGUGGGCCUUCCUAUGUUUUAUUACAAACUACUAGUUUCAAGAAUGUCUACUGCGUGUAACGCAUUUAUAUACAACUUUCAGCAACGGAUCUCUUGGCUCUC